GGGGAAUAUUGGACAAUGGGCGCAAGCCUGAUCCAGCAAUGCCGCGUGGGUGAAGAAGGUUUUCGGAUUGUAAAGCCCUUUCGGCGGGGACGAUGAUGACGGUACCCGCAGAAGAAGCUCCGGCUAACUUCGUGCCAGCAGCCGCGGGGGUACGGAGGGGGCUAGCGUUGCUCGGAAUGACUGGGCGUAAAGGGCGCGUAGGCGGGUCGUACAGUCGGGUGUGAAAUUUCUGGGCUUAACCUGGGGACUGCAUUCGAGACGUGCGGGCUUGAGUGGGGAAGAGGGUCGUGGAAUUCCCAGUGUAGAGGUGAAAUUCGUAGAUAUUGGGAAGAACACCGGUGGCGAAGGCGGCGACCUGGUCCUUGACUGACGCUGAGGCGCGAAAGCGUGGGGAGCAAAC
rnacentral:rRNA from 1 species